GACGUAGGGCGCGAGCGUUGUCCGGAAUCAUUGGGCGUAAAGAGCGUGUAGGCGGCCUUUUAAGUCCUGCGUGAAAUCCUGCGGCUCAACCGCAGACGGUCGUGGGAAACUGGAAGGCUAGAGUGCGGGAGAGGAGAGUGGAAUUCCCGGUGUAGCGGUGAAAUGCGCAGAUAUCGGGAAGAACACCCGUGGCGAAGGCGGCUCUCUGGAACGCAACUGACGCUGAGACGCGAAAGCGUGGGGAGCAAACAGG
rnacentral:rRNA from 1 species